GAUGUGUAUCAAGGUGGCUGACUACUGACUACCCUUCACUUUGAAAGACACUGUCUACGGGAGGUUAUAGAGGGCUAAUUUAGUCUGUUCGCGGGAGCUGAGCCUGACACUUCAGCCUUUACUUCCUUUGCAACCCAAGACUGAGACCGUGCAUUAUUCAGGUGUGAAUCUCAAAGAGAAUUUUGCUCUACUACAUAUCUGUUAGCCUACUUUCUCUAUACAGUGAAAAAUAAUGUCACACUAAAAAAA